rnacentral:lncRNA from 1 species
CAUUGAAAUAGGAUUCCAGGUGUAAUUUAGAUGUUGUCCACAAGAUAGCAGCAGUGUGUGUGCAAAGUUUCAGACUAAUCCAGUGAAGAAUUACAUCACUACACAAGUCUGCCAGGAGUUUGCCCAAAUGUGCCGAAUUGGUCAAUUAAUACAUUUUCAAGUACAUAACUAUAGAGAACAUACAAAAAUGCUAUGGUAAAAAAAAUAUAUAUGUUUACACACUCCCAGGAAUUUCAUGCAUGAUGGAUCACUAGCUUCCCUACAGAAAAUACACUAACCUUCACACAUCUAUUUUACCUGGACCAGCCACUCUUAAAUAUCACCUGGGCCAGCCACUCCUAAAUAUCACCUUGGCCAGCCACUUUUAAAUAUCACCUGGGCCAGCACAGGUGUAACACCUCCCGACUAAUGAGAUGGACAAGCCAGCACAGGUGAAACACCUCCCAACUAACGAGAUGGACAAGCCAGCACAGGUGUAACACCUCCCGACUAACGAGAUGGACAAGCCAGCACAGGUGUAACACCUCCGACUAACGAGAUGGAUAAGCCAGCACAGGUAUAACACCUCCCGACUAACGAGAUGGACAAGCCAGCACAGGUGUAACACCUCCGACUAACGAGAUGGACAAGCCAGCACAGGUGUAACACCUCCCGACUAACGAGAUGGAUAAGCCAGCACAGGUAUAACACCUCCCGACUAACGAGAUGGACAAGCCAGCACAGGUGUAACACCUCCGACUAACGAGAUGGACAAGCCAGCACAGGUGUAACACCGACUAACGA